rnacentral:rRNA from 1 species
GAGUUUGAUCCUGGCUCAGGACGAACGCUGGCGGCGUGCCUAACACAUGCAAGUCGAGCGAGUGAAUCUCCUUCGGGAGUGAAGCUAGCGGCGGACGGGUGAGUAACACGUGGGCAACCUGCCUCAUAGAGGGGAAUAGCCUUUCGAAAGGAAGAUUAAUACCGCAUAAGAUUGUAGCUUCGCAUGAAGUAGCAAUUAAAGGAGCAAUCCGCUAUGAGAUGGGCCCGCGGCGCAUUAGCUAGUUGGUGAGGUAACGGCUCACCAAGGCGACGAUGCGUAGCCGACCUGAGAGGGUGAUCGGCCACAUUGGGACUGAGACACGGCCCAGACUCCUACGGGAGGCAGCAGUGGGGAAUAUUGCACAAUGGGGGAAACCCUGAUGCAGCGACGCCGCGUGGAGGAAGAAGGUCUUCGGAUUGUAAACUUCUUUUAUCAGGGACGAAGUAAGUGACGGUACCUGAUGAAUAAGCCACGGCUAACUACGUGCCAGCAGCCGCGGUAAUUC